rnacentral:tRNA from 1 species
AGGGAUGUAGCUCAAUGGCAAAGCAUUUGCCUAGCAUGCAUAAAGCCCUGGGUUUGAUCCUCAGGAUCACAA